AAAAGAAUCAGAAAUGACUUCAAUAUUUCAUCAAAGCAGAUGACCAUUUAGCAAUGAUAAUAGCACUCGUAACCAUCUAUAUUAGGUUCUACAACAGCAACUAUGUAGGAGACAGAAGGUAAAAGCCUAAACUGAGAUCAACACAAUUAUAUGUCUGAAGGCUCAUGGUUCAACUGUAUUACCAAGCACAAAAGAAAAUGCUUCACGAACU
rnacentral:lncRNA from 1 species